rnacentral:rRNA from 1 species
AUGAAGGACGUUAUACGGGGCGUGUGCGGCGGAGACAGCGCGGCGAGGCGAGGCAGUGGCGGUGGUUGUCCGGCUGUCGUGCCUCGCGCGGGGAGGAUGGACGACGCUCGCCGGGGCGUGUACGGCGGAGACGGCUUCUGCCAAAGUGGAGCAGGAGAGGACCGGAAGUCAAGGAGGCAGGGUGAGUACGCUAUGCACAGCGCCGCCUUCAUCCUCCACCUCCUUCUAAAGCGCGCGCUCGCCUCGGGCGCUGGCGGUGGCGCGGUGGUGCUCGCCCUCGCGCACCCGUACUCGCACCACGACCGCGUCCUCCGCAAGAUGGUAAGCGCCCCGGCCGCUCACCCGCAUUUCCUCGGCAACAGGGCCAUCCAUGCGGACCACGCGGCGGCGGUGACGCUCUUCGGGCACCCCCGCGGCCGGCUGAGCCUGGCCAUCUAUGAGGACAUGCGGGCGCCACCGGCGUUCCUCAUCGAGCUGCCCAUGCUGGCGGCCGGGCUGCAUAGGGGGGAUGGCCACGGGACCUUGAAGCUGGUGCUGGAGAGCGACACCCGCAGCGCGCGGCGACCACUCCUGUCCAACGACGAGUGGCACGUGCUGCGGCUGCUGCGCGGCGUCUCCACGAGCGCCGGGGUGCCGCCGCCGCCGCCUGCUGACGGCUCCAAUUUCCCCGACGGCGUCAUACUCCCGUGUCUGAUUAGGAUUGAAGAGUGCUGA